CUACGGGGCGCAGCAGGCGAGAAAACUUUGCAAUGUGCGAAAGCACGACAAGGUUAAUCCGAGUGGUUUGUGCUAAACGAACCUUUUGACAGUCCUAGAAACACUGUUGAAUAAGGGGUGGGCAAGUUCUGGUGUCAGCCGCCGCGGUAAAACCAGCACCUCAAGUGGUCAGGAUGAUUAUUGGGCCUAAAGCAUCCGUAGCCGGCUCUGUAAGUUUUCGGUUAAAUCUGUACGCUCAACGUACAGGCUGCCGGGAAUACUGCAGAGCUAGGGAGUGGGAGAGGUAGACGGUACUCGGUAGGAAGGGGUAAAAUCCUUUGAUCUAUUGAUGACCACCUGUGGCGAAGGCGGUCUACCAGAACACGUCCAACGGUGAGGGAUGAAAGCUGGGGGAGCAAACCGGAUUAGAUACCCUUGUAGUC
rnacentral:rRNA from 1 species